GCUCAGUAACACGUAGUCAACCUGCCCUAGAGACAUGAAUAACCCCGGGAAACUGGGAUUAAUACAUGAUAGAUCAUCUCAUCUGGAAGGAGAGAUGGUUUAAAGGGGUGCGCGAGCUUCUUUUGUGCAUCCGCUCUAGGAUGGGACUGCGGCCGAUCAGGCUGUUGGUGGGGUAAUGGCCCACCAAACCUGUAACCGGUACGGGCCUUGAGAGAGGGGGCCCGGAGAUGGACACUGAGAGAAGGGUCCAGGUCCUACGGGGCGCAGCAGGCGCGAAACCUUCGCAAUGCGCGAAAGCGUGACGAGGUUAAUCCGAGUGGUUCCCGCUGAGGGAAUCUUUUGUUGGCUCUAAAAUGGCCAGUGAAUAAGGGGAGGGCAAGUCUGGUGUCAGCCGCCGCGGUAAUACCAGCUCCUCGAGUGGUCGGGGCGAUUAUUGGGCCUAAAGCAUCCGUAGCCUGUUCUGUAGGUCUUCUGUUAAAUCCAACGGCUUAACCGUUGGCCUGCAGAAGAUACCGCAGGACUAGGAGGCGGGAGAGGUGGACGGUACUCCACGUGUAGGGGUAAAAUCCUUUGAUCCGUGGAAGACCACCAGUGGCGAAGGCGGUCCACCAGAACGCGCUCGACGGUGAGGGAUGAAAGCUGGGGGAGCGAACCGGAUUAGAUACCCGGGUAGUCCCAGCCGUAAACGAUGCGAGCUAGAUGAUCCAAUCGCAAAUCGCGAUUGGAGUGUCGCAGGGAAGCCGUUAAGCUCGCCGCCUGGGGAGUACGGUCGCAAGACUGAAACUUAAAGGAAUUGGCGGGU
rnacentral:rRNA from 1 species